rnacentral:misc_RNA from 1 species
AACGCACAUUGCGCUUCCUGGUAUUCCGGGAAGCAUGCCCGUUUCAGAAUCAAUAAAAAUCUCACCCAGCUUGGUGCUUUCGAGCGUUGAGUGGAGGUGGAUCUGGAUCUUUGCGUUAGCAAUCUUCUUAAAUUCAUUGUGUGUGCACCAAUUGAUGUUUCUUUUGGUUGUCCGAGUGCAACAGAUUUAUCUAUUUCGCUUUGGCAAUUGAUUGAUGCUCUUGAUGCGCAUACUUCACCCAUAAUACGGUCUUCAAAUCGGUAUGAUUUGGAUUUCCGAUAACUUGAUCUGAAAUCGGGCAAGAAAACCCGCUGAACUUAA